rnacentral:rRNA from 1 species
CCUACGGGAGGCAGCAGUGGGGAAUCUUGCGCAAUGGGCGAAAGCCUGACGCAGCCAUGCCGCGUGAAUGAUGAAGGUCUUAGGAUUGUAAAAUUCUUUCACCGGGGGACGAUAAUGACGGUACCCGGAGAAGAAGCCCCGGCUAACUUCGUGCCAGCAGCCGCGGUAAUACGAAGGGGGCUAGCGUUGCUCGGAAUUACUGGGCGUAAAGGGAGCGUAGGCGGAUAGUUUAGUCAGAGGUGAAAGCCCAGGGCUCAACCUUGGAAUUGCCUUUGAUACUGGCUAUCUUGAGUGUGGGAGAGGUUAGCGGAACUCCGAGUGUAGAGGUGAAAUUCGUAGAUAUUCGGAAGAACACCAGUGGCGAAGGCGGCUAACUGGCCCAUUACUGACGCUGAGGCUCGAAAGCGUGGGGAGCAAACAGGAUUAGAUACCCUGGUAGUCCACGCCGUAAACGAUGAGUGCUAGUUGUCGGCAUGCAUGCAUGUCGGUGACGCAGCUAACGACAUUAAGACACUCCGCCGUCGGGGAGGUACGGUCGCGAAGAAUUAAACUACGAAAGGAAAGUUAGACGGCGUGAGACGUGCCGAACGGACGACGACGAGGGAGGUAGG